CUUGUUUCCUCUGCUCGCCGCCACACACACACACACACGCAUCGAGCCAGGGAGAUGAGCUCCCUGCGCCCGAUCCCCUCGCCGCCUCCACCGUGAGACCCCCACACCCCACCACCUCCUCGCCGCCGUCGCGCCCCCUUUCAUCAGCAGCCGUGCCCUCGUCCUGUCCCCUCUGCCUCCUCCUCGUCGCUCGCAUCCGCCGCCAGCCACCGCAGAACCAGGCCGCUACCGCUUCAUCCCGCCUCCUCCUUGUCCAACUCCGGUGGCUCCACACCUGCAUCUCCACCGGCGCCAUCCAUCCCCAUCGCCCGAGCACUCGAGGAGAGGAGCUCCUCGAGCACCUGCGCCCGCAUCCGUCGUCCUCCGCGCCCAGCAGGAGCCCCGCGCCGCUCGUCCCCUCCGUUUUGGUCGGAGUUCGCUGGAGCCCCAUCACCGGACCAUCUUCGCCUUCGCCUCCUACUACCGGCGCGCCGCCCUACCUCCGCCUCGUCUUGCCGUCGACCGUGCCAAGUCCUGUCGGCGCCAUGCCCAACCUUCUCCUCUGCUUCGUCCCGGGAGAAGAGGGACGUGCCUCGUCCCGCUCUUGCGCUUUGACCGCCAGGGUCACUCGCAUGGGCUAGGCCCAGAUCCCCGGCUUCUCCCUGUCCUUCCGCCUCGUCAGCUUCCAGCCGGAGGAUCUCCGCCCUUAACUUUGCCCUGCCUUGGAGCUGCCGCUGCUCUGCCCGCUAGGACCCCAUCUCAAGGCCAGGGACGCCCUGCCUGCUGCGCACCAUGGCUCCUGGAGCUCCACCCGUGACGAGCAUCUUCUCCAUCGUAUCCUCCUUGGACGUCGACACCAAGUACCCUGGACCGCCAAGUUCGUCUACUGCUGUCUAGUGUACGAUUACCAUCUCUGUUGACCCGAGCCCCUUCUGUCUCACUUUGUUUGGAUCGGCAAGAACGAGAUGCACCAAGUACCUCAACCCGAACGUCUACGACCCGUGAACAACUACCGUCGCAAAGAUCGCGAGUACCUCUACUGUCGCCGUGAACAACUACUUCCCACGACUCCCGUGAACCACUACUUUCACUAUCGUCGCGAGAACGACUACUUCCACUACGACCCGUGUAUCGCUACUUCCAUCUACAUUGCUCCGAGCUCGAACUGCCCCGAAAUGCACGCUUCGAAGUUGCAGGUGCCGAUGAUACCAGUGCAGGUGAUGCAACUGAGCUCAGAUGGGAGCUCAACGAAGACCUUGGUCAUUGCUAUGUAUCGUUUCAUGUUGAUUAGUAGGGGAGCCCAGUUGGGAUGAUCGGGGAUCUAGCAGUUGGGUUAUCUUCUUUUCUUUUGGCUUCGUCCGUAGUCGUACUAUGUGUGUGCUCUAAAUGAUAUAUGAAUUAUAUGUUCAUUGUGUGAAGUGGCGAUUGUAAGCCAACUCUUUAUCCCA